rnacentral:rRNA from 1 species
UACGAAGGGGGCUAGCGUUGCUCGGAAUUAUUGGGCGUAAAGGGUGCGUAGGCGGGCCGUUAAGUCUGGGGUGAAAUCCUGGAGCUCAACUCCAGAACUGCCUUUGAUACUGGGGAUCUCGAGUCCGGAAGAGGUGAGUGGAACUCCGAGUGUAGAGGUGAAAUUCGUAGAUAUUCGGAAGAACACCAGUGGCGAAGGCGGCUCACUGGUCCGGUACUGACGCUGAGGUGCGAAAGCGUGGGGAGCAAACAGG